AGUGAACGCUGGCGGUAGGCCUAACACAUGCAAGUCGAACGGCAGCACAGUAAGAGCUUGCUCUUACGGGUGGCGAGUGGCGGACGGGUGAGGAAUACAUCGGAAUCUACUUUUUCGUGGGGGAUAACGUAGGGAAACUUACGCUAAUACCGCAUACGACCUACGGGUGAAAGCAGGGGAUCUUCGGACCUUGCGCGAUUGAAUGAGCCGAUGUCGGAUUAGCUAGUUGGCGGGGUAAAGGCCCACCAAGGCGACGAUCCGUAGCUGGUCUGAGAGGAUGAUCAGCCACACUGGAACUGAGACACGGUCCAGACUCCUACGGGAGGCAGCAGUGGGGAAUAUUGGACAAUGGGCGCAAGCCUGAUCCAGCCAUACCGCGUGGGUGAAGAAGGUCUUCGGGUUGUAAAGCCCUGUUGUUGGGAAAGAAAAGAAGCAGGUUAAUACCCCGAUGUUCUGACGGUACCUAAAGAAUAAGCACCGGCUAACUUCGUG
rnacentral:rRNA from 1 species